CUGGCAGUGGACGUUCCUGGGGGUUCUCAUUGGUGCUGGAGGUGAUCGCUCCCCCAGUCAGUGAGGAAGGGGUCCUAGGGACCCAGCACCCAGACCAGCCUCUGAGGACACGGAGCCUGAAGAGGGUCCUCGCCUCACUCAUGGACAGUCACGGUGCUCACUGGAAACGGUGAGACUGUGUUUUCAGACUUGCUAUGUUUUCUUAAAGCCCUCCCAGGCCAGGAAAUUGCUUCAUGGACAUAAAGGUUGGAACAGAAGACAAAUGACAGGUGCUGGCUCUUGCAUGAUGACCACGUUCUCCCUCUCAUGAUGGGUACACCGUCUUCAUUUUGAAACCGAGAAAAACAUCAUCAGCUCCAAGCAUUCAGACACGAUGCUUGGUGAUGCAGCAGCCAUGUGGUGACCACGAAGUGACAAGCACCAGAUGAAAGUUGUGCGCUAGGAACAGAGGGUGCAGAGGAGAAAGAGCAAGGUCCUUCUCUGGUGAAGCCGCCACACUGACCGGACACUGGACCGAACACCUCCGGAUUCGUGCUUAUGUGUUACAGAUCAUGAACUGGGAGCCCUGUGGAAAGACAAGUGCAUCGGGAACCAAGGUCUGGCCCUGGACUUCUCCCAGGUGACCCUGCCCCCAACAGCCAUCUGGACUCGAAACAGAACUGAGAUUACUAACAUUUCCUGGAAUUAAAAAAAAAAAAAAGGAUAAAAAGAAUUCAACUAGAUGCCCAUUUGUUAGCCCAGCAAUGGCAUGGAUUAGCCUUGAAGAGUAAUUGGUCACUCCUGAGAAAACAUUCGAGUAUGACAAAAUGUGGUAAAGGAGGUGAAAUGGAUGAUGCUUUUUGGUUCUGAGGCUUGCAGUUUUGGUGGGGCACGGUGAGCACAUUGUGUAGCUUCUGCGUGGCAGCAGGUGGGGUGACCUGAAGACUGAAGAGUAGAAUUCUCAGAAGGGGCAUGCGUGUUGCCGGUGGAUGCCGGCGGUUGGCAGGGACAGGUGUGGGGCCCUCCCAUGGGGUCGCUGAUCUCUCCCAGACAGGGUCUGCAAUAUUAAUGUGGCCAUUUUUGGCAAAGACACCCUGCUCCAAGAAAUUCUCGCCUUUUGGAGGUCAUCUGUACCACAUACCUGCAGAGAAAAUGUGAAAAGUGAGCCCGAUUCUCUCAGCUGCCCAGCUGCAUAGAGACAGACACGGGGCUUGAGCUCAUGAAUCAUG